rnacentral:rRNA from 1 species
CCUACGGGAGGCAGCAGUGGGGAAUUUUGGACAAUGGGCGAAAGCCUGAUCCAGCAAUGCCGCGUGCAGGAAGAAGGCCUUCGGGUUGUAAACUGCUUUUGUACGGAACGAAACGGUCCGCUUUAAUACAGUGGGCUAAUGACGGUACCGUAAGAAUAAGCACCGGCUAACUACGUGCCAGCAGCCGCGGUAAUACGUAGGGUGCGAGCGUUAAUCGGAAUUACUGGGCGUAAAGCGUGCGCAGGCGGUUAUAUAAGACAGUUGUGAAAUCCCCGGGCUCAACCUGGGAAUUGCAUCUGUGACUGUAUAGCUAGAGUACGGUAGAGGGGGAUGGAAUUCCGCGUGUAGCAGUGAAAUGCGUAGAUAUGCGGAGGAACACCGAUGGCGAAGGCAAUCCCCUGGACCUGUACUGACGCUCAUGCACGAAAGCGUGGGGAGCAAACAGGAUUAGAUACCCUGGUAGUCCACGCCCUAAACGAUGUCAACUGGUUGUUGGGUGCAUUAGUACUCAGUAACGAAGCUAACGCGUGAAGUUGACCGCCUGGGGAGGUACGGCCGCGAGUAGAACGACAAUAGAGUAGACGGCGUGAGACGUAGCCGACGGACGACGACGAGGGAGGAGG